ACCUGGGACUUUGCUACUGCUCUGAGUCCCCAGGGCAAGGGCUGGCAGGAGACCCUGCCGAGAGGCGGAGGGAUGAGCAGGGCAACCCGGGAGGGGUCCUGCCUGCCCCCAGUGGGGUUAAGGGUCCUCCCUUGCGCCCUGCCCACACGCCGGGCGGCCCGGAGUGAUGAGUCCGAGCCGGGUGCCGCGUGCAGCUGACAGGGCCUCAGAUGCCCUUUCAGGCCUUUGGAGGGAGGAAAAGCUCGUUUUAGUUUGCUCAUGGGUUGGCAGGAGGGGUGACCUCAGGCAGUUUAUGAAGCAGCAGUAAACCCUGACUGAGCCAGGAACCGGCUUCGGGAAGAGUCAGCGAAUGGGUGGGAGCCACUGGUGCUGGCCUGGAUGAGGCUCCCUUGGGGCUGGUCUGUCUGCCGGGGUAGGUGGGUCUCCUGGCUGGGCUCUGACUCACCUUGGGGGCGGCGUGACCGGACUCAGUGGCUGGACUCGGAAGGGCGAGUGGCCACGCGGCGUCUGGGUCAGAGGCGCCAUCCCCCAGCUGCCCAUCCGAGGAGAACUGCCCUGGCUGGGGCCGGUAUCCCUCCGCGGGGCUCUGGGAGGUCGGGGUCACCCCGCACGGCCAAGCUCUCUCACCGUGGAAUCCUGUUUUCCGAAGACACACAGGUGUCUGGUGGGAAACAUACUGGGAAGUAUUGGGCAGCACUGGUCAUUGUCAGAGGAAGUAAGAGAGGAUCCGUGGUAGGCGGCUGAGGGAGCGGCAUCUAGCCCUCUCUGCAGACCCAGGGGGGAUCUGCGACAGACUGAGUGUUCCCGCUGCCCCCCGCCCAAUUGAUGUGGUCAAGCCCCAACCCCCAAGGCCACUGUAUCUGGAGACGGGCCUUUACGGAGGUAAUCAAGGUCAGAAAAGGCCAUCAGGGUGGGGCCCGGAUCUUAGAUUCGUGUCCUAAGGAGAGACCAGUCUCUCUCUCUCUCUGUCUUCCCUCCCUCCCUGCCACAGGAGCUCACAGCAGGAAGGUGGCCAUCCACAAGCCAGGAGGAGAGCUCUCAGCAGAAAAUGAAUCGGUUGGGGCCCCGAUCUUGGAUUUCCAGCCUCCAGAACCGUGAGAAUAAAUUGGCUGUUGAAGCUGCCCAGUCUGUGCGGUGCUGUUGUGGCCGCCUGGGCAGGACGGGGCGCCGAUGCCCAAGGGCUCAGCGGUGCUAAUGCGGCGUGAUCAGUGGCUCCGGUGGAGCGGAUGUAACACGGAGGCCUCGAGUGGCAGCCAGCGGAGAUCAGAGCUGGAGAAUGUUCUGAUUUCUGGAAACAUCCAGAAGGAAAAACGAGUGGCAUUUUCCCCCUGGAACCUGGGUAUGUUCCCCGUCACAGAGAUCUGGGGCUUUGGGGAUUGACCCUGUCUCCAGUUCACUUGGGAGCCCAGGGGUCCCUGGUAUCUGAGUAGGACUUCAUAGGUUGCAGCACGAUCGCCGAAGGGGCAGUCGUUCAAGCUUCCUCAGCAGGGCAGGUCCUCCGCCCAGAAGUGCCACCGCGGUUUGAGCGCCUCGUGGUGCGGUGCGACCUGGAUGCCACACACCGUUACCACCCCCUCGGCAGCCUGAAUCGGCACGCACCGAUGGCCUCACCGGUCCUGGGGGAGGGGUCUGGGCACGGCUGGGUCCUCCGCUACCGCCAAGGAGUCGGCAGGGCCGGGCUCCGGUCUGAAGGCUCGGCUGGGGAAGGGACCAGCUCGCGCGGCUGCCGGGAGCCCCGGGGUCCCUGAGGGUUGUCACAGGAAGGUUUCAGCUUCUUGCCGGCUGUCACCAGAGGCCGCCUUUCAUCCCUUGCUGGUUGUUCCAAAGCCACCCCCACGUCUCCAGCUAUUUGCGAAGACGGCCCCCACUUCUGGGUACCAACCCCCCCUCCCUUAGCUGGGGGGGGGGCACGGCAGUAUUACCACGGUCUUAGUGGCUUAGAACCAUACCCAUCUAUCACCUCACAGUCUCUGUGGGUUGGGAGUCUGGACAGGGCACAGCUGGUCCUCUGCUCAGGGGUCUCCAAGGCGGCCACCCAGGUGCCUGCUGAGUCUGGGGUCUCAUCUGGAGGCUCGACGGGGGAGGGCUGUUGGCAGGACUCAGUCCCUUGUGGCGUGGGACGGAGAGGUUCCAUUUCCUGCAGGCUGCCGGCUGGAGGCCAGUCUCAGCGCCCAGGUGGUGUUAGCCAAAGGCCGCCUGGAAUUCAUCGCCUCCCCACCUUCUUCGGCCAAGCCAGCCAGAGACAGAGAGACAGGACAGUCCUACGUAACCUGGCCACGGAAGGGACGCGCCCUCACCUUUGCCACAGUCUCUUGGUUAAAAGCCACUCGUGGGUCUCGCCCACACUCAGGGAGGGGCUUAUCCAAGGGCAUCCGUUCUAGAAGGUGCGAGAUUGGGGGCCAUCCUAAACUCGUGCUCCACAGGGAGCGCUCACUCGCAAACUGGCUACUCUGGUUUCGGCCCUCAGAUCCAUCCUGCCCCGUGGUCUGGAGGGUCCGGAGAGCCCAGCUCUAGGGGCCACCUGUUGGGUGUGGCUGGUGGGAAGCGUUGGCAGGAGAUCAAGGAAGAAGAGAGGGAGGUGGCCCUCAUUUCUCCCGCCCCCACCCUGCUGCCGCGUCCUGGCGCCUUUUAGGGCUGCCGCUCGUCCGGAGGCCCCUCCUCACGCCCCCAAACUCCAGGGCUCUGGUCCCGAUGCUCCCGCCAGCCCUUGGCUCCGGCAGAUCCGGAGAUGGCAAAGGCUUCCCUCUGCAGUCACCGGCCUCAAGCUCUUUCAUCUGGGCCCUGGGGUUUCAUCAUCUGUGUCCCGCCCUGACCAGCCCGCCUCCUUCCAACUCUGGCCAUCGUGUCCGGGGUGGCCCACACUGGAAAGUUCUCGCCCGGAGCGCGCUAGCCGUCUUCGGUUUUUGCGGCUCUCACCUCUCCUCUCGUAGAAGGUUGCACUUCUGCCCCUUCGGCCACAGAGGUGGGACUGAAAUUAAAUAAUGGUCUGGGGGGUGUCUUUUCAACUUAACACUGAGCUCCCUGAGGCAAUGACCUGUGCUUCCUCUGAGCCCGGCUCGGGGCCCCGCGCACGGCGGGCUUGCGGAUACCUUCCGAGGCUCGAGAGACUGCCUUUCCUCACCUCUCACGAGAGGGAAACUGAGGCUCCCGGGGGAAAGACAGCCGGCCAAGUCUGCACAGCAAAGGGCAGUGGGCUUGGGGCUGCUGCCCGACGUCCGACUCAGCAUUGCCGCCCCAGGUGGCCCAGAGGAAGACGGAGGAAGAGGCCAAAGAACAGGGGCACGUGGCCCCGGGGACAGGGACAGCGGGCCCGGGUGGGGCUGGUGCGGCAGGGGAAGAUGCCCACACACACACACACACACGAGCCCUCGCCCUUGGCUUCUGCAGGGAAUUUCCUUCUCUGUCAUGGAGGCGGAGACUGGCAUCCUGAAAUUUAAAUCAAGUUCAUUUUACAUGCCAGUGAGUCAUAUGCAGCCCCUGGAACUUCCGGUCUCCCUCCCCAGGGACCUCAUGAGCUGGUGCAGCCCUGGCCUGAUCCUGGGCCCGAGGAGAAGGCAGGGCUCACCCUCCAAAGCAGUACCUGCCGAGGACCCAGCAGGCCCCAGGCCCCCCGAGGGCGCGACCUUGGGUUCACCGGGAUGGAGGCCAGGGACGAACACUUCCUUCCGGAGCUGGGCCUUGUCGGGUGGGACGAUGGCAAACGUCCCACUUCCCAGCUGCUAAGGGUCAGCCAAUGCUGCGGUUUCUGUGUCUGUCAGAGGGGAACAAAGUUCCGGUUCUGUGUGGCUCACCGGAUGGUAAGAAACGGCGGUGGUGGGAUGGCGUCCGGAGGCUCCACGAGGUGAGGGGGAGGGGCCCGUACCCACAGGUAGGAUCGACGCGCCAUGUGGCCCCGGGGCCCCGGGGCCGGGUGCCCUGCUGGUGGCCCCGCGGGACACCGUUUGGCCUUGCCUGUUAAACCUGAACACACCCACGUGUUCUGACCUGGCGGCACCUCUCCUCGGGGGGUGCACGCGUGCGCCCCAAGAGAUGUCCACAGACACGCUCGCACGAUGCCGAGGCGGCCCGGCCCGGGGAAACAGCCCCCCUGUCCCUCGGCAGGAGGAUGGGCAGGCAGACCGUGGCGUGCCCGCAUCAGCGAGACACAGCAACGAAAAUAAAUGAUCUUCAGCGACGGAGAGGCCCCACGGACGUCCAGCGUGAGGCACAGGGGAGCCUAGACUCCAGGAGGACACGAGGAGCCGGUGCUGUUCCCACGCGGCUGGAGAUGUGGCCACACGGGGCCGUGGGGUCCGGGGGUGCACGCGGAGCGGGGGGUGGGAGAGUGCCUGCUCACUGGCGACAACUCAAACAGUAAUGCCAAGGUCACGACGGAGGGAAAACGGCCCCGACCUGACUACCCCAGAGAAAGCUCCGCCUGGACAGCCGGGCCUGAACGAGCCACGGCCGUGGGCCCACCAGCGGUUGGACCGCCAAGUGGCUCCCCGCGGCAGGGGGUCUCGCCCUCCCCGCAGGCCGGAACUGGGCCACGUGCAGGAGUGGGCUGGAGUGUCCCCCGUCCGGCCCUCUGUGUGCGGGCCCCGGCGCCUGGAGCACCUCCCGGUCUGGGUUCGAGCCGCAGCCGUGGGCCCCGACGGGCUCUGCGGAGCAGGCAUCAGCGCGGGGGGGGGGGGGGGGGGGGAGCACCCUUCCUCUGCGAGGAGGGGUGAGGGGCAGGGCCGAAGGGGGGGCGUUCCUAGCUGUCCUAGCCCGGCGCCUCCGAGCACCCCCAACGUGCUGCGGCGCCACCAACGCGGCAAGCUGUCUUCUCCGGAGCGCUGCGGGCGGCUUCGAUGCAUCCGCGAGCCCGGCUGGGGGUGUGCGUCUCGCUCGCUGCCACCCGAUGCCUGUCUCAGGACACGCUGACCUCCGGGAAGGCCACCCCCUGCUCUGCACCUCCCCACGGGGCACCCGGCAGCUCUCCCGCUUUGUCUCCGGGCUUCAGUCACCGCGGGCGGGGGCUGCCGCACGACACCCCCGCCGCCCCGGGCAGCCCCCAGCGGGCAUGGCGGCGCCCGCGCCUUAGACCACCUCGACCCGGAAGUGCUUCGCAGCACUUCCCUUUACCUUCCACUGGCGAGGCCUGGUCACGUGGGGGCGCGCGGCCGCAAGGGAGGGUGGGAAACGGCCCGGCCCAGCGCCGUGGCUUCCAGCCACGGCUCUGGGCGGCACCCAGGGACUCGGGCGCUCCCUGGGCCGCUGGGCGAUGCCACCGCAGGCCCCUGGCCUCCGCGCCCCCAGGGCCGGGAGCACCUCCCUGGGGGGACCUGAGUCCCCCGGCGUUUUGUGCUGAUGUUAUGGUCACCUGAUCGGAAUUGAGGACACCUGCGGUCCGCCUUCCAUCCCGGUGCCAGACGAGGGGCGGCGGGACACCUGGCCACGUGCCAGUGUGACUCUUGGCCCGACCGAGGGCUUCGUCCCUGGGUCUGUGUUCCCUCCGUGGAUGAAGAAGGGGCUUCGUUAUAUUCUGAGCUGACAACAGGCUCCUGUGGCCAGAAAUACGGCCCCCCGGGCAGCAACCACAAGGGCUGACAUUUACAGGGCCCAGAGCCUGGUGUAUGGCAGGUAUGCAACAGAGUCAUUCACAAACACCGUGUGCCUAGGAUGUGGUAGCCAGCGAAAAUGUCGAGUCCACAAGAUAAGAGUGUUUUGUUGUUGUUGUUGUUUUCCCAUUGAUAGUUGAGGGAGCGGGGGAGUCAGCGAUUGACCGUGGGCCACGGAGCAGAGCGGGAGCCCGGGGAAACCCACCUAACUGCUCAGAUGCCCUGAGUAAUUUUGUGGCAGCCGGUUCGCCCUCCCGAUGACUGAGCCGGAGGACGGAUCAUUGCUAACUGUAAAAUUCUGCACAGGCCCUCAGAGUCAGGGAAGUGGGUGUCAUGGAAGGUGGCGGAGAAGGUGGAGUUUCUCGAAAGGCUGAUUGAGGUCUUCCCGCCUGGCCGCGUCAGAGAUGCUCCUGGGGCCCGGGCGCACGAGGCUGAGAGCCCAGAGGUCUGGGCCCCGACCGAAGCCCCCAACCGGUCAGGGAAGAGACGGCUGUCUGCAGCCCUCCGGCGAAGGCCUGUGGGGCCAGGGAGCCCAGAUCUGCCCCUGAGGAAUUUCACCAGGAGCGUCGGCAGCGCAUGAGUUUCAGGAGAGCCUGCUCACGCCCUGCCCGGCAUCUGCUACAGAUUACGGAUCAACACGGCCGCCACCUUCCUGUCGGGGACAGCCUGCAGAGUCCUUAGCUCGUCAAAGAUUGGCUUUCCGACGAAGCAGACCUCGAGACAAAGAUUUGGAUGGCCUCUGAUCCCACGGAAUGCAACGUUGUGGGGCCGGGAGCCCGAGUCCCUGAGCGGACCCUGGGGCCGAGGCGAGAAGGACCGUCUGACCUCCGUGCCCUCGUUCCUGGGCCCGUGUUUCCGCUUCCUGGAUUAGAGCACUGCCUGAUGGACAAAAAUAUCUGCUAUACCUCGGAGGACGGAGGUUCGGAAUAGGUCCAUCCACGUCGUGGAAUGCACCGGAACCUCAUGCCCUUUUAAGGACAAACACUGCUCUGUUGUUGAUGGAGCACAUCUGUUCAUCCGUCCGUCCGUCGCCGGACACUCGGGCCAUCUCCCCUUUUGGGUCUCACGCGCUGUCUCUCCAGGGACGGCGUCCUACCUCCACACAGGUCAUGGCCAAGCCCAGGCAUUGAGGAGCCUUUCUCUCAGGCUGGUAGGUUUGUUUGAGGUGGACGUGUGUAGGAGACGGGACCAGCAGGUCCCAGGGUCCCGGUCCUUUGGUCACCCCUUCCCUGUCAUGGGGGUCUGUUGGCCUGAGGUGACAUCUCGUGGGAUUCUCUGUCGGCAGAUGAGAUACCCUGGGAGCCCUUGGCAAGUGUGGUUGGUGGAGGCCGUGGGGACGGGGAAGGCAGAGCUUGAACACUGAUCGGUACGGGAUGGUAGAUCGCCCCCCAGGAGGGAAGGUCUGAUGGGUUCUGACGUACUCACCUCAGCAUCAGGAUGCUGGUUGGCGGCUGGAGGGGCAGCACCCCGGCCAGGGCUUAGGGUCAGUCCCCGCCGCGCCCCCUGCGUAGAACCUCCAGCCUCACCGCCACCCAGCUCUGUUCGCGUGCUGCUUGCUCAAGGACAGUGGGGAACAGACGGGGGGCUGGCCCUCACUGUGCCGGUGUCCUAUUCUCCUGGCCAUGUUCACACCGGUGCCCCUCACAGGCCAUCACGUGUAGGGGUGGGGGAUGGUGAACAACCGUUCACACAUCGGGAGCCCACCCGUCCCCAGGACCUCCUGGGGUCUGGCCUGAUCCUGCCCUUGUGGGCUGUUCGCCCCUGCCUUGGAGUCGCCGUGUCCCCCAGCCCCCCAGCACUUCUGCCUUCCCAUGAAGUUGAUGACGUGUCCCUGUUGAAGCUCUGCCUCGUGGGACCACACCCGAGCGAGUGGGGCUGACGCGAGAGAGCGGACGGUGCACGUUUAUUUGUACAAAACGGACGUCGGUGUUGACGUCCAACCCGGGGCAGCCGCGACAGAACCGAGGGCGCGGGGACCAGGGGCAGGGCCAGCCGGUCGCAGAGGUGGUCACCGAGGAGCCUGGAGUCGCCGGGGAGCGGGUGCGCUUCCCCAGGGUUCCGUGAGGCCUGUCGCUUUGCUCAGGUUUACUGUCUGUUCUGCUGAACGAACUAACUGUGCCCACGGUUGUAGCCCACGUCUUCUUGUGCACGGACCGUCGGCAGGCCUUUGCAAGCUGUCGAGUGUUCAGAUGAGCGUCCCGGUAGUUUCCAGCAGGAAAUCGGUUAAAUUAAUUUCAAAAUCAUUUUGAUGUUUGUCAUCCCGUCGAUGGAGUCUAGAUAAAGCAGCUGGAAGUUUACUCUGUCAAACGUGAAACGCACCUGACGUGCAGCCGCUUGAGCUGUAAAUUGAGUCUUAAAAAACGCCUUCGAUGCUGAAAUGUUUUUGGUUUGGCAGGUGAUUACAAGAAGACAAAUUUUGGAUGAUCGCAGCUCUGUGAUUAAAGACACAAUAUUUUGAUCUUGUUAAGAAACCCAUCAUCCCUGGGAACUCCGGUGGCUCACACCAUGUUCCUCAUUGCGUGGAAACCAGCCUGGGAUGUGGCCAAUGGACCUAGAAGGUGUGCUUUUCAAAACGUGAGGAGAUUUUUAUGCACACACAGCAGGGCUGGACGACAGAACGGAUUUCAAAGGUGCCGUGUCAUUAAAAAACGCUUCGGCACGCCGCAGGUUCUCAGAGUUCAGAAACAUUUGGCCGUCGAAGGACGGCCCGCGAUGAUUUCGGACAUUUUUGGGAAUGGGUCUGUAGAUUGUGGCUGCGUUUCAUGUAAGUUGGACGUUUUCAAAUCGUCCCAUUUGUCCGACGGAGGACCACAGCACUCGAGCUUUUGAAUCCCUCGGGUUGUACCGAUUGAGAGUAAAGUUCACAAAGUUGAACCGAACGGCCGUGGAGCCAUGGGGAAGCCAGGGAGGAGACGGAACAAACUGAACUCGGGGGGGUCGGAGAAUACGCAAGGUCUAAUUUCCAAACUGUGUAAUUGUGCUUUGGAAGAUCGUACUCGUGGGAAGAAUGUUCUGAUGGUGCCUUUAGGCCUGAUUGGGUAGAUUUAUGUUUUGGAACGACGCGGAACGCUUUUGAGCUGGCUACUCAAAAGGAUCGCGCACAGGGACGGCUUAUUUGAGUUUUGCCUGUAACGUAUUUGUUGCAGGAUGAGACCUGAGCCUCUGGGGGGGCGGGGUAGAGACCUGAGGAGGGCGCCCAAGAGGGUAUUUGUGCUGGAGUAUUUACACAUUCAAAUAAAACAAAGACAAAAACUAACAAACAAGCGAGCCCAGGACUGUGCGUACUUUCCACGGAGCGGCCGCUCCUCUGAGCCCGUGGGGCAUCCCGGGGUCUCUUAAGAGCGAGUCGUCUGAACUGAAGGCACUGUGGUCUAUCGAGGGCCUCGCGAGCCCUCCAGAAAUCCAAAGCCAUGAAUGUAAAUUUGAAGGAUUUGGCAGCAGCUUCAUGAAAACAAUAAAAAAUAAGAUGCAGUGAGAGAAAUCCCAGUGGUCGGUAGGGGAGAGCCUCGGGCAAGGACACAGAGUGGAGGGUACGACAAUGCAGCGAGAAUAGUAAAUACAAACUUGCGAUUUUAAUGCAGUUUUUUGUGUGUUUAGAAAGCGUUUUUGGGGCACAGUCGGUUCAGCGUCUGACUUCAGCUCGGAGCAUGAUCUUGCGGUCCGUGGGUUCGAGCCCCGCGUUGGGCUCCGUGCUGACAACUCAGCUUCCGAUUGAUUCUGUGUCUCCCUCACUCUCCGCCCCUCCUCCGCUCACACCGUGUCUCUCUCUCAAAAAUAAACAAAUAUUCAAAAAAAAUGAAAAAAAAGAAAGCGUUUUCUCUUUGAAAAUCGGUUUUGAACAGAACUAUCUCACAGAGCCCCCGAGGUGACACAUCCACCUUGUAGGUGAAGCGAGCCCCGUGAGCCUCACUGUUCACACUCUUCCGGGGCGUCCGCGCUGGGGGAGGAGUCGGGUGGCCCCAGCUGGGGACCAGGGAGAGGGAAAGCGUCUGGACUGUGGCCCCACCGUACGGGCGGGACCGUGGUGCCCACGCCCCAGAGGACGGCUCUGCCAGGAAUAAUCAUGUGGCUUCUUCCUUUGCCCCAGCCGGACCGUCCCCUCCAGAUGCAGAUCCUGACACCCCACAGGGCUGGCUCCCAUCACACUCCAGGGUCGCUAUGGGACCCUGGGACAGCCCUGCACACCCAAGGCGGUGGCCGCUGGGUCUCCCCUUUCCUGGGCUCCAGCACCACCCCGUCACCUCCUUCCUCUGCGCCCAGACACGGGAGAAGGCAGUGAGCGAGCCUUAGGUUGUGGGAAACAGAGAGCCGGGCGCUCCAGCCAGCUGCGGGACCCGCUCGGAGUUUCUGGUGACUUCCGCCGAGUUUGGGCUGGCUUUGGCCCAGAGGGUUUCCUGGAGGGGCCUCAGGGGUGGGAAAGGGACGUGGGGAGAGGCCCAGCUCCGUCCGUCUUGCAUGGGGGUGCUUGCAGAAGACUUUGCUCUCGGGAGGAGCCCUGGGCAGCCCGGAGGGGAUGGGUGGGCAGCGGGUGGCCACGGGCCCGGACUCGGCCUGGCUUCUCUGCCUUUCGGACCUCAGAGCU